AGGCAGCAGUGGGGAAUAUUGCACAAUGGGGGAAACCCUGAUGCAGCCAUGCCGCGUGUGUGAAGAAGGCCUUCGGGUUGUAAAGCACUUUCAGUAGGGAGGAAGGUAGUGUAGUUAACACCUGCACUAUUUGACGUUACCUACAGAAGAAGCACCGGCUAACUCCGUGCCAGCAGCCGCGGUAAUACGGAGGGGUGCGAGCGUUAAUCGGAAUUACUGGGCGUAAAGCGCAUGCAGGCGGCCUGUUAAGUCAGAUGUGAAAGCCCGGGGCUUAACCUCGGAAUUGCAUUUGAAACUGGCAGGCUAGAGUCUUGUAGAGGGGGGUAGGAAUUUCAGGUGUAGCGGUGAAAUGCGUAGAGAUCUGAAGGAAUACCAGUGGCGAAGGCGGCCCCCUGGACAAAGACUGACGCUCAGAUGCGAAAGCGUGGGGAGCAAACAGGAUUAGAUACCCUGGUAG
rnacentral:rRNA from 1 species